CCCUUAGAUGUUCUGGGCAGCACGCGCGCUACAAUGGUCUUCGCAAACGGAUGCAUUCUCGAAGGAGAAUGCCAAUCUUGGAAUCUAUGCCUUGGUCGGGACAGUUGCUUGCAAUUUUUCGACUCGAACCAGGAAUUCCUUGUAAUCGUGAUUCAUCACAUCACGAUGAAUACGUCCCUGCCCUUUGUACACACCGCCCGUCGCUCCUACCGAUCGAAGAGUUAGGUGAAUUGUUUUGAUCGAUAAGAUUUGACUAUGGUCAACUCUCGUUGUGAAAUUCUGUGACUCUGACUGUUUAGAGGAAGGAAAAGUCGUAACA
rnacentral:rRNA from 1 species